AGGGACCAGGACGAUGGCUGGCCAAAUACAGCUGGUGAUGGAGCUGGAGGCCCGUCAUUUCAGUAGAAAUUGUAGAGCAUGUUGGCCAGUCCGCAGUGAUAAUCUCAUCACAGCAGCAGGUCGAUCUUUAGGGCAGUGUAGCAUGUGUAUGAAUUGUGGUUUAGGUCACA
rnacentral:snoRNA from 1 species